rnacentral:misc_RNA from 1 species
GAACCCCAUGAACCUUAGCACCAUCUUGGCCUUAGACUCCAGGACCUAAUGAACCGGAUUCUCCUAAAAAUUUUCUGUUCCUCUUUCUCUAUUAAUGAUCCUCAUGUUUGUUUGUUGUAGUUGAUUUGCUGAGGAAAUUCAUGCGUUGAAAUGUCUUAGAACCGAAUUGUCGAAUAAGAUGUAAUAUUUAUUUUCUUUAAUUAAUUGUUCAACCGUGGUUGUAUUAAUUUUAUCUUCU